UACGGAGGAUCCAAGCGUUAUCCGGAAUUACUGGGCGUAAAGAGGUGCGUAGGUGGCAGAGUAAGUCUGUAGUGAAAGCGUGUGGCUCAACCACAUAUACAUUAUAGAAACUGCUCAGCUAGAGGAUGAGAGAGGUUAUUGGAAUUCCCAGUGUAGGAGUGAAAUCCGUAGAUAUUGGGAGGAACACCGAUGGCGUAGGCAGAUAACUGGCUCAUUCCUGACACUAAGGCACGAAAGCGUGGGGAGCAAACGGG
rnacentral:rRNA from 1 species